rnacentral:rRNA from 1 species
UACAGAGGGUGCGAGCGUUAAUCGGAGUUACUGGGCGUAAAGGGCGCGUAGGCGGUUGUUUAAGAUUGAUGUGAAAUCCCUGGGCUUAACCUAGGAAGUGCAUCGAUGACUGGACGGCUAGAGUAUUGUAGAGGGUGGCGGAAUUUCCGGUGUAGCGGUGAAAUGCGUAGAGAUCGGAAAGAACACCAGUGGCGAAGGCGGCCACCUGGACAAAUACUGACGCUGAGGAGCGAAAGCGUGGGGAGCGAACAGG